UACAGAGGGUGCAAGCGUUAAUCGGAAUUACUGGGCGUAAAGCGUGCGUAGACGGUUAUGUAAGUCGGGUGUGAAAGCCCCGGGCUCAACCUGGGAAUGCCAUUCGAGACUGCAUAGCUAGGGUACGGAAGAGGGAAGCGGAAUUUCCGGUGUAGCGGUGAAAUGCGUAGAUAUCGGAAGGAACACCAGUGGCGAAAGCGGCUUCCUGGUCCAGCACCGACGUUCAGGCACGAAAGCGUGGGGAGCAAACAGG
rnacentral:rRNA from 1 species